rnacentral:tRNA from 1 species
UUAGCUCAGCUGGUAGAGCGCCUCGAUGGCAUCGAGGAGGUCACCGGUUCAAGUCCGGUACGGUCCA